AUCUUGAGUGAGUGAAGAACAGACGAAUGAAGAAAAAGUGUUACGUUGUUUGAUUUUGUGAGUGUUUAAAGAGUAGAAUUAUACUAGUUAAAAAGACGAGUGUUUAUAAGUUACGUCAAAUGGUGGAACAAAAUAAGGAGUGUCUCAUCCAAAUCAGCAAAUUUAAAUUUUCUCUUGUGAUAUCAGGACUUACAAAGAUUUUACAGAGGGUCAAUGAAUCCAGAACACAUGGUCCUGACUAUGAGAAAAAUUAUUAUGAAUCAUUGCUAAUUGCUAAUAAGACACUUUAGAGAAAUGCCUAAGUGACCAACCAAAAGAUACAACAAGAUUUGACGAAGCCAUGAAUGUUAAACUGUUACUGCGAGAAAUCUGCCUAUUUAUUGUUAAACAAACUUUGAAAUAAAAAAUAUAUAAUAAUAAUCAAGUUUUAACUAUUGAUGCAGAUUUUCCAAAUGAAAAUCCAAUGGUUAACCAGCUUAAAGCUCUAGCUUCAAAAGUUUUAUUUGGUCUCAGUCUCAACAAUUUCAAUGCUGUUUUCAGUCGGAUGUCAUCAAGACUGCAAGAAUUAAGUACAUGCAACGAAGAGAAUCCUAACUUAAGUUACAUCGAACUCAUUCAACAUAUAAAUGUAGAUAUACCAUACGACUAAUCAAAUUGCUGAACGGUGAUAAAAAGUGGUGGAAAAAGUGUUUGCGCUUGUUCAGUCUGUGCUCAACGACUUAAAAAUAAGUGAAUCUAGAAUAUUCCAAAUUGCCACAAUGUGACGUUAUUUCUUGGGCGGGUGUUACUAUUCAAUCCAGGCAAGCCAUUUUCCCGUUGUGUCAAGCCCACUGUUUCGUGUCUUGUUUUCGCAUAAAUCCCCCCUACAACGAAGCUCUUAAAGUAUGCCUCAAUCCACAUUCACCACCAACUUUUCACCAUGUCCUGCCCAGUGACUUCGUUCGUGGGACAUCUUAUGCGGCAGUUGUUGUGUGCCAACGGGAAAUUUGGCAGAAAAAUCCUUGAAGACGUUUGGACUAAAUUAAACUAUAAAUGAUGUCCUACUGUAUUUCUUUUCUUUGAAUACAUAUUUGGAACUGAA